CAACUUUCAACAACGGAUCUCUUGGCUCUCGCAUCGAUGAAGAACGCAGCGAAAUGCGAUACGUAACGUGAAUUGCAGAAUUCAGUGAAUCAUCGAAUCUUUGAACGCACCUUGCGCCCCUUGGCAUUCCGAGGGGCACACCCGUUUGAGUGUCGUG
rnacentral:rRNA from 1 species